rnacentral:rRNA from 1 species
GGUGAGUAACACGUGGGUGAUCUGCCUUGCACUUCGGGAUAAGCCUGGGAAACUGGGUCUAAUACCGGAUAGGACCAUGCUUUAGUGUGUGUGGUGGAAAGUUUUUCGGUGCAAGAUGAGCCCGCGGCCUAUCAGCUUGUUGGUGGGGUAAUGGCCUACCAAGGCGUCGACGGGUAGCCGGCCUGAGAGGGUGUACGGCCACAUUGGGACUGAGAUACGGCCCAG